UGAGCGGCAGAGCUCAGAUUUGAAUCGUGCUUUGCGGCACGUAGUUGUAGAUUGCAGGUUGGAGUCUGUGUGGAAGGCGGUGUCCAAGUCCCUUGGAACAGGGCGCCCAGGAGGGUGAGAGCCCCGUGGGAUGCCGGCGGAAGCAGUGAGGCCCUUCUGACCAGUCGAGUUGUUUGG
rnacentral:rRNA from 1 species